rnacentral:rRNA from 1 species
UACGGGGGGGGCAAGCGUGGUUCGGAAUUACUGGGCGUAAAGGGCUCGUAGGCGGCCAACUAAGUCAGACGUGAAAUCCCUCGGCUUAACCGGGGAACUGCAUCUGAUACUGGAUGGCUUGAGUUCGGGAGAGGGAUGCGGAAUUCCAGGUGUAGCGGUGAAAUGCGUAGAUAUCUGGAGGAACACCGGUGGCGAAGGCGGCAUCCUGGACCGACACUGACGCUGAGGAGCGAAAGCCAGGGGAGCAAACGGG